rfam:Zea mays cultivar B73 chromosome 4, whole genome shotgun sequence.
GCGGUAAGAGUGAGUCAGGGCUAGCCAAGGAGACUGCCCGUGAGAGACCAACGUACACCCCAAGCUUCGUCAUCCUCUCAUCGAUCGAUCGCUCGCUCGCUCGUCGGUCGACACGAGAUGGUCCUUGCAUGAGGGGAGCGUGGCCAGCACACAGGCAAGUCAUCCUUGGCUACCAGAGCUACCACUCUCAUCG